AAUAAACGAAUUUCUGUAUUUUUUUUAGAAUUUUUGACUCUUCAUCUUAUUUGAAUUUUUUUAUGAUUAAUAUUUUUAUUAUUACUACAUGAUGAAACAUGAAUAAUACUUUACGUGUGACUAUUUUUUUAAAAAAUUUAAUAAAUUUUUCAAACAAGACGGAUGGUCAAACGCUCGACUAAAAAACCCA
rnacentral:pre_miRNA from 1 species